rnacentral:rRNA from 1 species
AUUGAACGCUGGCGGCAUGCUUUACACAUGCAAGUCGAACGGCAGCGGGGGCUUCGGCCUGCCGGCGAGUGGCGAACGGGUGAGUAAUGCAUCGGAACGUGCCCAGUCAUGGGGGAUAACUACGCGAAAGCGUAGCUAAUACCGCAUACGCCCUGAGGGGGAAAGCGGGGGAUCGCAAGACCUCGCGUGAUUGGAGCGGCCGAUGUCGGAUUAGCUAGUUGGUGGGGUAAAGGCCUACCAAGGCGACGAUCCGUAGCGGGUCUGAGAGGAUGAUCCGCCACACUGGGACUGAGACACGGCCCAGACUCCUACGGGAGGCAGCAGUGGGGAAUUUUGGACAAUGGGGGCAACCCUGAUCCAGCCAUGCCGCGUGAGUGAAGAAGGCCUCGGUUGUAAGAC